rnacentral:lncRNA from 1 species
GCCGUUCAACUUAUUAAUAAGCCCAAACUGUUUCAUAUCAGUAUGCCCAGUAUAAAUUGUCGACACCUCAUCCAGCGUUCCAUUUCUCUGCAAUGGAGACUUACGGCAAGAAGAAGCCCCAUCUGAUGCAUCGGUCGCCGCGCUUUUGGAAAAAAUCGGUGCGCUAUGCUCACCAGUGGGUCGUCAUAUCCGAAGACCAAUUGUUGGGCUGUGACAGGAACAAAAGGCUUUUGAUUCAGUCCACUUAUGAACACUGAUAGUCCGAAGUUUAGGAACCUUGGCAAACUCUUACUUUGUGUCGUCAAUGUCUGUUUAUAAAAUUAAGGAGGAUAGUUGCGGUUAAUGUCACGCAUGGAAGCUCGAUAUUGCUAUUUUGACAUGUGGAUUAUUUUUAUAAAACAAUGAAUUGUGACGGCGAAAUUUGAAAGCUAUUUUAUUUAAAUAACAUACUGCUGGUUGAAUUGCAAUGCAAUUAUUAAAACGUAAAUUGUUUAAAUAGAAAGUAUUGGAACAACGAACACCGACUCAAUCCUCGUUUUGUAAAUAAACCACCUUGUCCAGGAUAAUGUUGACGUAAAUCUUACGUACGGGAAGUCGACAGCUCCAUUUAUAAGAGGCCUAACCGCAUUACAUGGGCUACAUGGUACAUAAUAUAACGAUAUCAAGUUGGGAUAAUAAAUAUAAUUCCUAGUGCUGGUGCUAGGGAUGAUUGCCCAGGCGUUGGACGAGAAAAAAUAAAAAAUAUUGAGAAAAAAAAGGAGCAAAAUUUGGAUAAAAAAAACUACAUGGAGGAUUUAAAGACGUCUUGGCACAAAAUCGCGGCACCGGUGGCGAUCACUGACGGCGGGCCAACGUCGAGGAACUCACCGAGUGCAGAGCCAAGCCGCAACUACACGAGCUGAGAAUCGUAAUCGGUAGUAGGGAACUGAACGGCAUUGCACUGCAGCACCGCGAAUAAAUGAAGCUAAAGAUUGUAAGCUAAGUUGAGCUGAUUGUAAGAGCACGAGUCCCCGGAUCGUGGCUACGAUAGGAUUCAAGCAGUGUUAAUUCCAGUAUAAACACAAAUAAGUAUAAAAGCAUCCGGAGUGAAAAGCAUGGCCUUGAUCUAAAGGUGCAAGUUGCAAAUUGAUCUCGCUUGUGCAGCUCGAAACUAUUGAACUCUAGCUUAUUAUUUCACCGUUAGAGUUCACGCUCGAAAUUGCGCGUCCAGAACCCGAAGGUGUAAACAUGUGGAUAGUGCCUGGCUGAUCGAACAUGACAAGGAACAAGAGGAUAAAUAUAUGCACAUACGGUAUAUAAUAAACAGAUAGACGUUUGAAUAAAUAAGAAGAUUUACUCUCACUAACGCGACUAUGACAGUGAACUUCGACAUGAACUGGACAGAAAAAAAAAUUGAAACCGGCUGUUUGUUUAUGAACCAUCCACAAAUAGUUAACUAUUUUUUUUAUUAAUAAAACUAUGAUAAUAAUCUACAAAAUGUUGUACAAAAAAUCCGCCGCAUAAUGAUAACAUUAAUGAAUAAUGUCCUGUCAUUUUUUAACAGUCGUCGGAGAGAUGAAUACAAAACAGCGUAUAAAAUAACAAGAAAAUUAAUGAAGAAAAAAUUAUUUACUUUUAUUUAGAGCCAUCUACGUCAAUAGCCUCUUCAUUACAAUGAUACUAGUUUAUUUAGUUUCUUCGAAUGCUUAGUCAUAUUUUUAUCGGACCCAAAAAUGAUUAAUAAGAAGUAGCGACUUGCUUUAAUUAAU